rnacentral:rRNA from 1 species
GUCCACGCUGUAAACGAUGGGAACUAGGUGUGGCGGGUGUUGACCCCUGCCGUGCCGAAGCUAACGCAUUAAGUUCCCCGCCUGGGAAGUACGGCCGCAAGGUUAAAACUCAAAGGAAUUGACGGGGGCCCGCACAAGCGGUGGAGCAUGUGGUUCAAUUCGACGCAACGCGCAGAACCUUACCCGGUCUUGACAUCCUGGGAACCUUUCAGAGAUGAGAGGGUGUCCGCAAGGAAGCCCAGAGACAGGUGCUGCAUGGCUGUCGU